rnacentral:tRNA from 1 species
GGUUGUGGCUCAGUGGUAGAGCGUUCUCCUAGCAUGUGUGAGAUUCUAGGUUCCAUCCUCAGCACCA